AAAGCAGAAUUUACCAACAAGAUGUUGUUCCUUGCUAUUUGCUCUUCAAAGUCAUCUUCAUCCUAGUGCUCAGAG
rnacentral:sRNA from 1 species